rnacentral:lncRNA from 1 species
UUACCUUUCCUAUCUUAUCUUUGUAUGCUUUAGGACUAGCCCUUCUCUUCUUCUCCUCACUCCAACCCAAGCCAAAAAUCAUUUUCAAAACUUUGACUUUGUUUCAAUUAGAAACCUAGGCCUCAUGCCUUUGACUUUUCAAAACCAUUUUUAUUAAUACUCAUUAUGAAUAAAUCUUAAUCCAACUUUGACUUCAUUUUUGUAAAUAAAUUAACUUGUAAAUAUAACUCACUUCAAGUUGUUUUGUGGUUCCAAUAGCCACCUUAUUAAAACCUUUUCAUAAACAUUAGUCAUAGGUUUGAGUUAUCAUAGUGGUUGAUGUAAAUAUCACCUCAUCCUUAGUGAUUGGAUUAUAAGUCUUCCAUACUUAUUAUAGGGUUAACCUCUCACUAGUAUGUUGAAGCCUUCCUCACAUGGUGGAUUGUUGGUUUAGGUUGAGUUUUCUCCCUUUUGAUAACAAAAGACCUUAAGGCUUUUGAUCAAAUCAAUUCACCAAUCUUUGAGAUUUUUACCCCGAACUACGAGGUUUUGAUCCUCCUUUGUGAUGGUACGUAGGCAAUGGGUUCAUCCAUUACACCAAUCUUUGAGAUUUUUACCCCGAACUACGAGGUUUUGAUCCUCCUUUGUGAUGGUACGUAGGCAAUGGGUUCAUCCAUUCAAACAACAAAAUUUGUAAAUAUAAUCUAUUCUCUUCUCAUCCUCCCAAUCUUUUGUACAUAUAUUUUCACAAAUACCAACCUAUAACACAUAUUCGCAAAAAGGGUUCCCUUAGAGUACUAAGGAUAUUUUGGUUGCGUAAAACCUUCCCAUUUCAUAACCAACCCCCUUACCUAGAUCUCUGACAUUUUUAUUAGUUUUUGAUUUGAAAAAACUUCUUACCUUGGCUUUUGUUCGCUUUUUAGCCUUUCCUUUGGACAAAUAAAAGUGUGGUGGCGACUCAAGUUGUAUGUUUACUUUUGGUUUAAUUAAUAAACCUAAAGGUAACGAAAACCCUGCUACAAUAUCAAGGGGAUGGGUAUAGCUAUUAAUGACCAUAUGCCAUAAGUAUGAAUCAUAACCAAGGAAGAAACUUUCAAUUCUAUCCUUCCAAUAAUCAGACUUAUCUCUAUAAAAACUAGAGGUUUAGCAUAUUAGUGAUCUUUAUCAUUAUUCAAAGCUGCCAUAAUGUGUUUCAACAAAACUGGAUCUUUUACUGACACAGUAAAAUGUUUGAUAUAAAAUGAUCAAUAACAAAACCAGAGCUCUGAUUCCAAUUGAAGGUUCAAGAAACACAAGAAAAAGGGGUUUGAAUUAGAUUUCUAGAUAAAAAACUUUUUCUCAACCCAAAGACACAAACAACAAAUGAACAACAAAAAGAAAGAACACAAAUAUUUUUAUCCUAGUUCGUUGUUAACGAAGUUACGUCCAGUCCACCCGUCUGAGUGAUUUGUCCUUCAACAAGGACUUAAUCCACUAAUCAAAGAAUUUAUUACAACCUCAAUGACAAACUAUCAAAGACCAUUUGAGAAUUUUGACUAUACCCUAGUCUCUCAAUGAAUUUAACCAAAGGUUAAUAAUAAAGAUUUAUAUUUACAAGAUGCUUCUAAAAGAGCAGAUACACAAGUUAAAAUCAAAUAAUACACUUAAGAAAAAAUAUUCAAAGAAGAUGUUCUUGGUGUAUGAGUGUGAGUAACACUUCUUUUCUUUUUCUUUUUCACGUAUGAUUUUUGUGUGUAUGUGUUGUUAUGCAAAUCAAUAGUUUUCCAAUCUUCCAAUACCUCUUUAUAUAUGUGAAAUAAAUUUAUUGGAGGGUGAAAUUGGAAUAUCCUUAAAUAUCUUAGUUCUAAGUAGGUAACUUGUUUCUACAACAAUAGAGUGGCACUUGCAGAAGAUAGUGGGUGAGGAUGAGACGUCAGGAAUGACAUUGAUAGAAUAGUACACUCUUAUUCCUGAUCUUCAGGGUAGUGGAAAGGAUAUUUUCUUUUUGUACUGAUUAUACCUUCCAAGUGUUCGUUUACUUUAGAUCAAUAAAUUUUAGUCAGAGGCUUCACAUUAAAGUUGAUGAAGCUUUAGUAGAGUUUAGAGCCAAUCUAUAGAAGCUGGUGACAAUGAGACUUUAGAGUCUUUGGAGUUCAGUCUUCGGAGAUUUCAUAGGCUUGAAUUAUCAUAAUCUUUAUCAGAGUCAUUUUGGAUGGUUUCUUUGCAUAAGCGUUUGACUUGGUAAUCCAUAAGCUUGACUUUCAUGUAAACACGCUUUUUAUAGUUCAUUUGGUUCAUAAUGUGUCUUUAGUUCAUAGUCUGGCUUGCUCAGAAUUGACUUCUUCAGAGUCAUAAUCUGUUUUCUAUAGUUUGCACACUUAACAAAAAUAGUUAGAGUAUAAAAGUGUUCUCUACACAUAUUAAGCUUUGUUAUCAUCAAAACUAAAGAAUAAUUGCAAAACUAAACUUGUUCCGACAACAUUGAUUUCCAUAGUUGUUCCUUCCCCUCGAUCCCUCUAGAGCGCAUGAUCUAUCUUUUUUGCUGCUUCAAGGUCGACACACAAGACAUAUGGUUCUCCAUGUAGGUUUGAUUUUUGAGCUUUAAGUCCACGGGUGAGGCUACGACACCCAAUGUGGAAAAGAAGGUCCUACCCAAGAUGCAAUUAUAAAGGGUCUUGCACGGGAUGACCAAUAAUUGAGUGUUGAUGGAUUGGAGGUCUAUUCUCUAUCCUAUAAAUACCAUGAAAUUCAUAUAUCCUCAAGGAUGAGUGGUCAUUCCAAUGAACACUUGUAGAUCUGAACCAUCAUAUGGUAUUAAGCUCCCUUUGUCUUAACCCGUUUUUUUCAAAUAGAUAUGAGUAAAGGAUAUUAUCACAUGAACUUCCCCCAUGAAUUAAAAUUCACGAGAAGUUGAACUAUCAUAUGAUAGCCAUGAUUACCAUGGUAAACAAUUCAUUAGAGAUGCCAUCAACCUUAUCAGGCUGUCAGAAUCCCAACAUAGGUCGGUCGGGGACCUUCGAUGAUGAACUAUCUUUGUUUAUAUAGACAUCCAUCAUUUUGGAGAUUUUCCUUUUGACUGUCCCUUGGAAUGGAGGUUCAUCCAUGUCGAUGAUGGCAACAAUAUACAUGUGUUUGCCUUUGUCAAUUUCCCUUCUUUUGUUGUUGGGUCCGGCUUCGGAGGUCUUUGUAAAGGACUUGGUUUUUGGAGAUUCCUCUCGCUCUCAUUUUCCCUCCUUGACAUAUUCGGACAACCAUCCUUUUUUUAUCAGUGCUUCAAUCGUUUCUUUAAGUUUGAUGCAAUCAUCUCUAUUAUGAUCGUGUCCUUCGUGGAAGCAACAAUACUUUGAUUUAUCCAUCCAAGCUGACUCCCUGAUAGGGUAAGGAGAUUAAAUCUCGACUUUCCUGAACUUAGUGUUAUAACAUUCUUGGUAAAAAAAUUCCCAGUAAGUGUUUAAAGGCGUGUAUUUAUUGCAUCUAUUGUAUGCCUUCCUAGAAAUGUUCUUUUUUUCCUACAGGAUUCCUUCCCUGGAGUACGGUCAAAACUUGCUUUGGCAACUGAGGUUGGGUUGUUGAAGCAAGUAUUUAGCUUCUCUUCCAACAUGAUGUAAGUUUGGGCCAGGUUAAGCAUCUCCUAAGUCAUUAUUACCUUCUUGUUUCCUAGAUUGGUGUGGAAAGGAUGGUCGCCGAGGAGGCCAUUUUUGAAGAUCUAGCACUGUAGGGAUUCUUCGCCUCCCUUUACCUCUAGCGCAUCCUGAGUGAAUCGAUCGAUGUAGGACUGUAUGAUUUCAUUCUCUCCUUACAUGAGUCUACUCACGACUGCUAUAGUAUUUGGUUGCCUCUUCCGGGCGGUGAGGCGAUCACAAAAAUUCGCCCAUGAUUCGAUAAAACCAUUGAAGAUACCAUUAAACCAUAAUCUAGAUGGUAUGACCAAGGUUAACACUAACAUCUUGCACUUGGAAGUGUCAUCAGCAUUGUAUUAAUUGAGUCAGUCAUUGACAAGUUAGAUGUGUUCGUCGGGGUCUUCCUUUCCAUUGUACUCUUCCAAUUUGGGAGGUUUUUGCAUUGACUUGGGGAUCUUUCUUUCUAAGAUCUGGGCAUAUAAGGGAUCUUUAGACUCACCUUGAUCAACUAGUGUUCGUCACAUAAGGGAUUAUAUAUCAUAUAGGUUAAACUAUGCUUAUAAUGAUUUAAUGUAUAAGCUUAGGUCGUUGGUGUAUUAAAUCUUAAGGAAUCAUCAUGAAGUCAAUUAUGCAUUAUUAAGAACAUCCAAGUAAUUUGUUUUUAAAUUGCCUUGUUUAAAGCGACUUUGGUUGUCAUGUAAAUGAUUUGCACUAGAAGUGAUCUAUCUCAUGGUUACUUCAUGUAUCAUUUCAUGUGGCUUGAUUCAUUGAGAUGCUUCCAAGUUCUCGUUUUAAUGUAUUGCUUACACUCCUUUUUUUUUUAAAUCUCUGAUUUCGUUAUUGUUAGUUCUAAGAGUUGACAGUAAUUUUGGUAAAACAAAGAGUGUUCACAAGAUGUUGCAUGUGAUGUCUUAACAUAAGAUACCCUUGUACCUGCUAGAGGUUUAAAAACAUAAUUAUGCAGGAUUGUUUCAGGAUGUCAUACACGAUGUCAUGACAUCUAAUAUUAUGUAUCUGCUGAAUAUUUAAAAUGGAAUUAUGCAGGAUUGUUCCAGGAUGUCAGACCCGAUGUCAUGACAUCUGUACACAUAACAUUCAGUGUGAAUGUUAUGUGUUAUGUGAUUGCGCUUUUAAUGGCAAUCUAUGUAUGAUUGAAGAUCUAAUUUGCAAACGCAUUCAAUCAUUAAUUACAACGUGAUUUAACUUAUUUUCCAAAAAGAUCUAACCAGCUGUCGUAAGAAGAUUUGAUUGGAAGAUAGUUUUAGGGUUUUAUGAUGUCCAAGCCCAGCUGAAUGCUUCUAUAAAAAAGGACAUGGAAAACCUGAUUUGAUACACAAGAAAUACUGAGCGAAAUAUUGAGAGAGAAUAAGGGUUUGUGUCUUGUGUGGUCGUGUGACUUGUAAGCCAUUCAAUUCAUCCAUAGAAUGAUUGAAUUAGUUUGAUUUUUGAGUUGUAAUUUGUCACUCAACGCUUUUAAGCAUGAGUGGUGGUCUACUUGAUUGAAGCUGCUAAGUAAGAUCAAGUGUGUGUCUACUUGAUUGAAGUUGCUAAGUAAAAUCAAGUGUGUGUGCUUUGAAGAGUGUCUUCUUUCAAAGGAAUUAUUGUUUAAUAAUCACUGGUGUGAGGAGGGGGAGUGAGUGGGAUCGCUCAUAUCUAAGAGUUCUUAGGUAGAAGUCAUACGGGUAGAGAUUAGGUAAAAAGACUGUAACUUGUGGAGUUUUAUCUAAAGUCGACACUGAUUCUAAUUUAGUGAAUUCCCUCCUGACUUGGUAGCCCCCAGACGUAGGUGAGAUUGCACCGAACUGGGUUAACAAUUGCUUGUGUCUUUGCUUAACUAUGUAUUCUAUCUUCUAUCUGUUUGUAUAUUCAGAUAUUAGUGUCGUGACAUUACCUCGACAUCUCAUAUCUGAUACCAGAAUUUCAAUGGUAUCAGAGCAGGCAUCCUGCUCUGGUUCUGGGUGAGAUCUUAGGGACAAUACUUUCUGGUAACUAUGGAAGAGAUGAGAUCGUAUGCACAGGGACGACCAUUUUUGGAUGGAUGCUAAACUAUGACUGAUUGGGAAACCUCGAAUGUAAGCUUUCCUAAAAUCUCUUGAUAUAAAGGCUUGGAAAGGUGGGUUUAACAGCUGGGAACCUCCAGUAAUUAUUAAGAGGAGAAAGCCAUCAACUGAUAAGAAGCUUGCAAGACAAUGGUCCAAGGAGGAGGAUGUAUCUAGACUUGUUAAUUCUAAGCAUUGAAUGCCAGAUAUUCAAUGGAGUAGACACGAAUAUCUUCAGAGUUGCGUAAAGCAACUGUGAGGUGGCUAAAGAUGCUUGGGACAUUCUCAAAACCACUCAUGAAGGCACCUCUAGAGUGAAGAUGUCUAGACUACAGCUGCUCACCACCAAGUUUGAAAAUUUAAGGAUGCUAGAAGAUGAAAAUAUUCAUGAAUUCCAUAUGAGUAUCCUUGAAAUUGCUAAUGCCUCAGGAGCCCUGGGAGAGAAGAUGUCAGAUGAAAAAUUAGUAAGAAAAAUACUCAGGUCACUCCCUAAGAGAUUUGCUAUAAAGGUGACAAACAUAGAAGAGUCUCGAGACAUCUCCAAUAUGAGAGUUGAUGAGCUAAUUGGUUCCCUCCAAACAUUUGAGAUGGGAAUGUGUGAUGGAUAUGAAAAGAAAACCAAAAGCAUAGCCUUCAUGUCAAACACAGAGGAGGAAAGUAGUCAGGAGGUUGAUGAAGAUCUGGCAAAUGAUGUAGCAAGGCUGGGAAGGCAGUUCAACAGACUGUUGAAAAAGAUGGAUGUAAGUUCUAAGGCUAAUGUCAAGAACAUUUCAUCUGACAUCAGUAAAUCCAAUAAUGCUGGAAGAAGAACAAGGCCAGAUGAUAAGCCCAAAGAAGGAAAAGGAGUACAGUGCCAUGAAUGUGAUAGGUAUGGACACAUUAGAACUGAAUGUGGAACCUACCUCAAGAAACAGAAGAUGAGUCUUGAUGCCACUUGGUCUGAUGAGAGUGAAACAAAAGAGUCUGCAAAUCUGGUGACUGCCUUGACAGGAAGAUGGGAUUCUGAUGAAGACUCAAGUGAUGAUGAAGUAACCUUUGAAGAGUUGUCCACUACCUAUAGAAAGUUGUGUCACAAAAAUGCAGAGGUGUGUAAAUAGGUUGAAAGCCAGAAGAAGGUAAUAACUCAACUUGAGAAUGAGAAGGCAGAACAUGUGGAAACCAUCUCCAAGUUAAAAACUGAAGCUGUGUUCUUGAAUUCUAAACUGGAAGAGAUGACCAAGUAUGUAAGAAUGUUAAACAAUGGAUCUGACUCCUUAGACAAGAUUCUCCAGACUGGACAAAUAACAUGAGACAAAUCGGGUAUUGGGUUUAAUGAAUCUAAGCCUGAGUGCAGUUACACUGGUGGCAAACCUAAAUCCAAACUUAAGUGCAGCCAUAUUAAAAGCAAACCUGAGAUGUCACAUCAUAUGUCACAACAUCAAAAAGGAAGACAACAGAAAGGGAAACACCAAAGAUGGAGAUGCCAUUACUGUGGAAGAUUUGGCCACCUGAAGCCCUUCUGCUAUAAGCUGUAUGGUUAUCCUAGCCAUGUUCAUCAUCAGACUCACUAUCAAACUAGACCCAAACAUCACAGGCCUGUCAACAAAAAGCAAUGGGUUCCCAAGACUAAUGUUGCAAGUUUAAUAGCUCACACUUCCUUUAGAGUUUCAGCCAAAGAAGAUUGGUAUUUUGACAGUGGUUUUCUCCAGACACAUGACUGGAAACAAAAACCUACUAACUGGCCUUCAUCCUCAUGCCAUAAGUUAUGUAACCUUUGGUGAUGGAGCAAAGGGUAAAACCAAGGGGAUUGGUAAGCUUGAUUACCCUAGAGUUCCUGACCUUGACAAUGUCUUACUGGUUAAGGGAUUAACUGCUAAUCUAAUAAGCACCAGUCAACUGUGUGACCAAGGUCUAAAUGUUAACUUCACUAAAACUGAAUGUCUGAUUACUAACAAAGAAAGUGAAGUGAUCAUGAAAGGAGUCAGGACCAAAGACAAUUGUUACAUGUGGAGUUCUCAAAUUGGUUAAACUGAAUGUCUGAUUACUAACAAAGAAAGUGAAGUGAUCAUGAAAGGAGUCAGGACCAAAGACAAUUGUUACAUGUGGAGUUCUCAAAUUGGUUAUUCUUCAAAGGGUACCUUAGUCAAAGAAGAAGGAGUAAAGACAUGGCAUCAAAGAAUGAGCCAUCUGCAUCUUAAAGGUAUGAAGAUGAUUAUAGCUGCUGAAGUUAUUAGAGGAACUCCCAAAUUGAAGAUUAAUGAAAGAAAAGUCUGUGGGAAAUGUCAGACAAGGAUGUCACACCAGAAACUCAGACAUGACAUCACUUCCAAGGGUUUGAAACUUCUCCAUAUGAAUUUGAUGGGACCCAUGCAGGUGGAAAGCCUUGGUGGAAAGAAGUAUGCAGUGGUGGAUGACUUCUCCAGAUACACCUGGACCAAAAAUAAACCUGAUGUGGUUGAAAUCUUCAAAGAUUUUUGUCUGAAACCUCAAGGAGAAAAGCUCAUGGUGGCUCAAACAGAUGUGGAUAAUAUUGGGUUUGGUAGGAAGUCAGAUUAGAUGGUAGAACAUGUUGCUAGUCAAAAGCAGUCUGAAGUUGGGAAGAGCUUUGUUGGACUUGGGCUACAAGUCAAGCAGAUAGAAGAGUCUAUUUGUCUAUCUCAAAGCAAAUGUGCCAAGAACAAUGUUAAGAAGAUUGGCAUGGAGAGUGCAAGGACUCCUUCUCCUACACAUUCGGAAGUAUUCAAAGAUGAAAAUGGUGUUUGUGCUAUAUAUCAAGCUGAAUACAUAGCAGCUGGAAGUAGCUGUUCUCAACAAGGUCAGUUGAAACUAAUGUUGACUGAAUAUAAUCUCACACACGAUGUCAUGAUAUUGUACUAUGAAAACCUGAGUGCUAUAACUAUUUCCAAAAAUCCUAUUCAGCACAGCAGGACUAAGCACAUUGAUAUUUGUCAUCACUUCAUUAGAGAAUUUGUGGAAGAAAAAAUCAUAGCACUAAAGCAUGAAUGCAAUUAGCUGACAAAUUUGCAAGGGCUCUGAAUGUUAAUCAGUUUAAAUAUUUAAGAGGGAAAUUGGGGAUUGUUAUUCAUGAGAAGUUAUAGCAAUUAAAGUGGAGUGGAAAAGGUAAUAAAAAUAUUGUCUGUCCACUAAAAGGAAAGUGCCACAUUUAUGGUAAAUCAUUACCUAGUAUUGGAACUAGUAUCUAUGUCAUUUCCACACGCUACCUCAACACAACCAUUUCCAUCUUCAUCCAACUUCUCAGACAACCUCUGUUAGGGCAAAAAGAUUUCUUUCAAAAGUCCAACAAAAUGUCAUAACAUCCCUCAUCCUCAGGAUCAAAACCCACUCACAAGGCCAGGACUCCCUCCAUGGAGUUUCUAGAUGAAGAUAUUUUGGAGGUCAUUCCCCUCUCUGUUAUUCCAGGCGACGCCCCUGGCCCUUCUUUCACGACUGGAAAUAAUCAAGGUAACAUUCCUGAUAACCCUCCUCCUAAGGAUGACAUGCACUAUACAGAUCGUGUCAUUAGGAACCCGGUAACUAGGAUUCUUAAUGAAGGUCAUGCAGUCAAGGGUGUUUCAACCCCUCUGUCUAGAAGGUACCCCUCUCUUGAGGUGGAACCUCAAACUAAGAAAGAUGAUGAUUCAUCUAGAUCAGAAAAAGACAUUGCUGCUGAGGGACUAUGCUCUCUAAGAAAAAACAUGUCUAGCAAAGAUCCUAUAGAUGUUUCUCAUUCUAAGAAGCCUAACACUGCUGAGAGAGUAAUUGAUUUGGAGGAAGAGAGUUCAGAAGAAGAAGAUGACACCUUGGUUCAUCAUUUGAAACCAAGUGUUGCAAGGAAAAUGAAGACCAGGAAAGGUAAGACUGUGGUUGAGAUGUUGACAGCCAGAACUAGGAAGAUGACUGCUGGUGUAGGACCCUUUAAAUCAUGGAGUAAAGUAGAGGUCAAGAAGAGGAAGAUCAGAGAAAGCUCUGAUUCUGAAGAUGAUGUCGAAGACGAUGUCCCAGACAUCUCUCCUGCUAAAAGGCAUACUGUUAAAAAGUCUCCAGCUAAGGUUGCAGCUGUACAUUUGGACAACAUUUCUUUCCAUCUGGAAGAUGGUGCUUCCAAGUGGAAGUUUGUUAUGCAAAAGAGAGUUGCUGUUGAGAGGGAGCUAGGGAAGGAGGCUGUAGAAGUGAAGGAAGUCAUGGAACUAAUCAAGAUUGCUGGUCUGAUGAAAACUGUUGUUGCUUUGCCCCAAUGUUUUGAAGGAUUAGUAAAAGAGUUUGUGGUUAAUAUCUCAGAGGAUAUUUCUGACAAGAGUAGCAAGGAAUUGUGCAAGGUCUUUGUGAGAGGUAGAUGUGUAAGGUUUUCCCUAACCAUAAUCAAUAAGUUCCUAGGGAGAGGAACUGAAGGAGGUGUGGGGUUAGAGGCUACGGACAAUGAAGUCUGUAGGCCUAUUACUGCUGGCCAAGUCAAGGAAUGGCCUAGCAAGAAGCAUCUUUCAGCUGGCAAAUUAAUUAUUAAAUAUGCCAUCUUGCAUAAGAUUGGUUCAGCCAACUGGGUGCCAAUAAACCAUAUCUCAACCAUCUCUAAUGGUCUUCGAAGAAUCAUCUAUGCUAUUGGAACCAGGCUCAACUUUGAUUUUGGAAGGUUCAUGUUUAAACAAAUUGUUAGACAUGCCUCCACUAAUGCAGUAAAGAUGCCUAUUGCCUUUCCAUCUAUCAUUUGUGGAAUUAUUUUAAGCUAGCAACCUGGCAUUCUCAACACAAGUGAUAUUCCCAGCAGAAGGAAGUCUCCACUGUCCAUUCACUACAAGUUAUUUGAAGGGAGCCAUGUCAAUGAUGUUGUCAUGACAUCUGCAAGGAAAGAGCCAGCCUCUCAAGGUGGCUUGAUUUCUCAAUUGAAGGAAACUUGUAAGGAGCUGGAUACUGGUAUUAGGGUUGCCAAGGCUAGGAAGGAGGCUUUAGAGGUUCUCAUUAGUAGCUUGGAGCAGGAAGAGAUGGAUAAGGUUAGUACAACCAAGGAGUCAGAUGCCCAUACCUCAAGUGAGAGGUCCAAUUCUCAAUCUAGUGGCUGUUCUGAAUCUGAAGGUGAAGAAGAUGCUACUUCCUCAGACUAAGCUGUGAUGGUCCCCCUGUUAUGAAGAUUGUGUGUGAUGUGUGCCGUUAUGAAGACGGGUCCCCCUGUUGGUUUGGCUGUUCUGGAUGCUGUUAUGGAUGUUUUGGAAGCUUGGAUGUUUUGUUGUGUUUCUGUUGAAAUGUUUGUAUUUUGUGGCAGUCCUUACUGAUGCCUUGAUGUAAUAUUUGGGCUCUUUAUGAGUUCCAUGGAUUUCUAAUUAUCUCAGCUAUUGCACCUGUGUAUAAUUAUGGUUUGUAUCUCUUAACAUUUAUGUUUUAACAUUUUAUAUGUUAUAAUAUCUCUUGUGACAUUCUCUGCUAGGGUGAUUGACAUUUAUUUUGUCUAAUUGGUCACCUUUGGUCUAUUUUGACUAAAAAGGGGGAGAAGUGAAUAUGUGGAGAGUUGCAGUUAAAUAUGUGGAGUUGUGUGGAGAUGUAUGUAUGUGCUGGUGUACAGCUAAUGUUGAAGGAGAUGUUUGAUGUAAGACAGAAUGUUGUUUUGUUUACAGAUGUUGGAGGAGAUGUCUGAUGUGGUGCACAGGUGAUGUUGAAGCAGAUGUCAGAGGGUGACUCUGAUUGUUAUAGGUGUUGUUAUUACAAAUGCUGUUAUUGUUAAAGGAGAUGUAUGUGUUGUACAAACUUAGGGGGAGAAGAAGUACCCUCAUGUGCAUUUGUGUGUUUUACUAGUUGCUAAUAUAGCUAGUAAUUCUGUUUGCUUCUGCUGCUUCUUAAACACUGUUAUGUUGUUUAACUACUAAUGUGUUUUUCUUGUGAACAAAAUGGACAGAUAUAUGUUUUAGUCAAAACUUUGCCAAAGGGGGAGUUUGUUGGUUCUAAGAGUUGGCAGUAAUUUUGGUAAAACAAAGAGUGUUCACAAGAUGUUGCGUGUGAUGUCUUAACAUAAGAUAUCCUUGUAUCUGCUGGAGGUUUAAAAACAUAAUUAUGCAGGAUUGUUUCAAGAUGUCAUACACGAUGUCAUGACAUCUGAUAUUAUGUACCUGCUGGAUAUUUAAAAUGGAAUUAUGCAGGAUUGUUCCAGGAUGUCAGACCCGAUGUCAUGACAUCUGUACACAGAACAUUCAGUGUGAAUGUUAUGCAGGAUUGUUCCAGGAUGUCAGACCCGAUGUCAUGACAUCUGUACACAGAACAUUCAGUGUGAAUGUUAUGUGUUAUGUGAUUGCGCUUUUAAUGGCAAUCUAUGUAUGAUUGAAGAUCUGAUUUGCAAACGCAUUCAAUCAUUAAUUACAACGUGAUUUAACUUAUUUUCCAAAGAGAUCUAACCAGCUGUCAUAAGAAGAUUUGAAUGGAAAAUAGUUUUAGGGUUUUAUGAUGUCCAAGCCCAGCCGAAUGAUUCUAUAAAAAGGGACAUGGAAAACCUGAUUUGAUACACAAGAAAUACUGAGCAAAAUAUUGAGAGAGAAUAAGGGUUUGUGUCUUGUGUGGUCGUGUGACUUGUAAGCCAUUCAAUUCAUCCAUAGAUGAUUGAAUUGGUUUGAUUUUUGAGUUGUAAUUUGUCACUCAAAGCUUUUAAGCAUGAGUUUGUGUCUACUUGAUUGAAGCUGCUAAGUAAGAUCAAGUGUGUGUCUACUUGAUUAAAGUUGCUAAGUAAAAUCAAGUGUGUAUCUUUGAAGAGUGUCUUCUUUUCAUAAGGAAUUAUUGUUUAAUAUCACUGGUGUGAUUGAUGGGGAGUGAGUGGGAUCUCAUAUCUAAGAGUUCUUAGGUAGAAGUCACACGGGUAGAGAUUAGGUGAAAAAGACUGUAACUUGUGGAGUUUACUGAGAGUCUUUGAACUGAUUCUAUUUAGUGGAUUUCCUUCCUGGCUUGGUAGCCUCCAGACGUAGGUGAGUUGCACCGAAUUGGGUUAACAAUUGCUUGUGUCUCUUGCUUUACUAUUCUUUAUCUUUAUCCUGUUUGUAUUAUUCAGAUAUUAGUGUCGUGACAUUACCUUCGACAUCUCAUAUCUGAUACCAAAAUUUCAGUUAUAUGGGACCUAAAAAGUUUUCAAAUUAUCUAAAAGGAUUUUGGGUCUAUUCAACCCCUCUUCUAGACAUUGUUGUUUCCAUAUUAUCACCAAAAACCUCAAGGUUAGCACUCCAACACUCAAGUCAGUAUGUGAAAGAGUAGAGAGUAUUCAAAUUGUGUUUGAAAUUUGUUACUUGAAAUUGAGUCAUUGCCUCUAUAUAGAAGGAAGAAUAACGACAUCGCUAUCUUUCAUACGUGGAAUAUGGAGGACUAUUAGAUGUGCCUGAGUCGUAGAUCCCCUACAAUGAGGUGAAAAAUAGUCUUGUGGUAAGGAGAAAUUUAUAUAACAAAACAGUAUGGUCAGUUGAUAUGUUAUAGCCCCAAGGUGGCCUAUCUUUAGAUGGUCGGUCCUAGUGAGAUGUGGUCAGCCCAAAACAUAAUCCAACAGAGUAAAAUCAAGUUCAUCUUCUAAGUGCUAAUCAAGAAAAAUCUAGCUACUCAUAUCGAUACAAAUAAUUACCAUGAGUUUAGAUGAAAACUACAUAAACAUCAAUGAAGAAUAUGGUCUCCAAUGCCUCCAAAACUCUAAAAAAACAUUGUUGUAGAACUCCUUGCCGCCACUUUCUAUGCAGAAAUCAAGAACCCUUUGAAAAAUGGCCUCCUUUUCUAUUUAAACAGCAAAAAACAUGUAUGACAAGUGAGCCAUUGCAGCAACUAUCAACAGCUUCGCGGUCGUGAUAACUCUUUAUUGCAACCAUGAUAGUGGCAUCGCAAACUCGAGAAAUCCAAGGGGUAAUUGCUUAAUUUUACUUAUGUUUCUUCUUUUUUUUUAUUAGUCCAUAAUUCCUUUCUCUUCUUCUAUUAUUAUCAUUUCUUUUUCACUUUAGCUCAUGUUUUGGUUGAAAUUACAUCCAUUCUAUCGAAAAUGCUCGUAAACAUUAUGAAAUAACAGAGUGUUAUCAUAGGUCCACACCGUGCCGCUGUAAAGGAGAUCGUCACCACAGUUCAAGAUCUUCAAAUCUCCAACUGUAUCCAUUUCUGGUUCUUGGAUGGAAAACCAUGGUAUGACAAAACUUAGCAUCUGAAUAACGAUGUAUGAAUAUCAUCCUAAUGGAUGGAUUACCCCAAAGUAUUGUAUUGUGUGAAUGAUCACAUGUAUUUUACCUUUUCCAUGUAUAGGAAUUUUACGGCUUCCCACACCUUGUAUAGCCCAAGAUCAGAUGUAAGUCUUACCUUGUACUAGUAGGGUCAAAUAUCUCAUAAUACUAGACAUAAUUUGUGUGGUUCUAAGAGUUCAUUAACUAUAUCAUGAUACUAGACUUGACUUGACCUAAGAGGUACUAGUAGGAUGUUAACAGGCCUGGUGUUAGACAUUAGUAGAGGUGUACAUAGGUGUAGGAGAUAGCCCUUAGAAUAUCAUAUGCAUGUACUAUGUGGAUGAUCACAUAUAUGAGAUAAAAAUGAGAAUUGGGCACUGUUAGGGAAAACUUGGAUUAUUUCAAGAUAGGAAAAUCAUGAGUGAUGAGUUAUGAGGACAUGUAUUGUCAUGGAAAACCUAAAUUAAGCAUAUCAAAUAUAGGCAAAUCUUGAUAAAUCGGUCAACGAGAUAGGCUAUUGUAUCUCCUUAUUUAUUCUAGUCUGCCUAAGUCCCAUAACUACGUUGGGUUAUAGUUGAGGUGAAUCAAAUAUGUGAAGUGUAGUAAAUCUUAUCUUGGACUAGUUGUUGUUUAUCUAACCAUGUGUGAGACCAUAGAACUACGCUAGAUGUUCAUUGAUUAGAUAAACAGUAGCUAGUGGCUAUGUUGUGGCAUCAAAGAGUUGUCACUUUUUGGUUUUCAGUUCAAGAUGUUAAGUAUCUCUGAUACCCUUAGGACUUCUUAGCAACUUGAGAAUACUUUUAUGGUCAGUGAGAUGUUUCGAGCUAGUUAGCUGAUACUCUUCUGUAUGGGAUGGGUGUGAGGUACCAUAAUGAACAUUUCAAGUAGACCUUGACCUAGGUAUAAGGGUAACGAGAGACUAAAUGGUUUAGAUUGGGAAGCUCACUAAUAUUAGUAUCUCAUCCUACAUAGUUGUUUAUAUUUUCAAGCAAACAUGUACUUGGAUUGAAUUUGUAGUGAUUGAUCUGGCACUAAAGACUAGAUGAAACGUCCUUCUUCUAUGUUGAAAAUUUUGUCUAGAUGUUGAUACAUUAGUUUAUUUGUUAUAUUAUUCUGAAUUUUAAUCUGGCCCACUUUCAUAUAUUUGCAUUGAUGUAUCAAUAUAUGUAAUCUUAUAUUUGUGAAAGUCACCAAUCAAGGGAGACACAAGGGUUCCCACCCCCAUAAAAUGAUGGCUGGCACUACCUUUAUAAUAUGGGGGCUCGCCUUCCUAAUAAGACACGUGUAAAAUGCCAUUAUCUCUCUAUCAGAUAUGCAUAUUAAGUCAUACCACGACUCUUGAAGAAUAGGUAUCAUCAACUUUCCUCAGUCAAAGGGGAGCAAUUACCACUUUUAAGGGUUUCCCAAGUAUUAGGCUCAAAGACCUCUAUAAAUACCUAUUCCCAUAACGGGAGACCAAGAUCUCAUAACUUACACAAAAUACCUAAAGUAACAUGCUUGUAUAAAUAGCCUCUCACCUCACGUAAUUUUUUCUCUCAUAUCACUGUAAACACUAUAACACCACCUUACAGGGCUUUCCGCUGCUGUGGGCAAGUCCUUACCACCCUAAAAUUUUACAUACCUACUAAGGCUUAUGACUAUCCCCUACCCUUGUAGAGAUACCUCACAUAACUGUAAUUGUUUUCCAGUAUAGUGGCGCCCACCAUGGGCCCCAAUGAAACUAACAUGGGCUACACCUUCUUCUACAAUCAUCAUACUCAGUGUUACCCUCCAUUCAUGUACCUAGCAUUCUCAUCCAUGGUCAACAAGAGAUCCACAUUACCUACGCUAGACGGUACCGGUGGUAGUGAUGGCUCUAAUUCCUUGGCGGAGAUGCAUGCUACCAUGGACAAAUUAGACUGUCAUAACAAAUCCUGAAAGACAGCGUCUUCAACAUCCAACAUCACCAACAAGAGACCAAUCCCAUAUAGGAGAUGAAAGUGAUGAAUCCUUAGACACUCUCAAAUGAAAUAUGGGAAGGACCUGCCUCUGAAGCAUUCAAUCCCCCCUCUUUGGAAAAGUUUGAUGAGCGAACUACCUCAUACGAGCAUGUCACAUCCAUUAACACUCAAACGACCAUCAUUGGAGCGUCUGACUCCUUGAAGUGCAAAUUACUAUCCGACACCUAUGUGGAUGCCGCUCGACGCUGGUAUAUGGGUCUACCCCGAUCUUCCAUCACCAAUUAUCAGGAGUUGGCGAGGAAACUAGUACACCAGUUCGCUGUUAGCCGCCACAGAAAAAUGUCUACCACCAAAUUGUUCAACAUAAGAUAGGGUCCCUUAGAAUCAUUGAGAGACUAUCUCGCACAUUCUAAUGAAGCCACCAUGAAGGUUGUCCCACCAAACCAAGAAAUGUUUAUGGGAGUAUUUCAUAGUGGAGUUAAGGCGGGAUAAUUUAAUAAGUCUCUCACCUAGAAGACAACAUUAUCGCUAGUAGAUGUGAUCACUAGGGCAUAAUGUUACAUAAAAGGAUAUGAGAGUAACAUUUAGAAGAAUGCACGAGACAUCAAAUAACGUGUCCCUAAUGCCAAAGGUCCACACCACGAAAGGAAGAGUAAUUAUACAUCUCCCGUCAUGGACAAUAUUAUGUUCAACAGAAUAUGCAAUACGAUGGAGGGCUUCACGCCUCUGAACAGUCACUACGAACAGAUCAGACACGAGGUUCUUCACCUGCACAACAUCCAUGUGCCUUCAACUCCGAAAACUGAUAUAAUGGGUCCCGAACAUGGUAGAUGGUGCAAUUUACAAAGAGUUAAAGGACACCACAUUGAGGAUUGUUACCAACUCAAGAAAGAGAUAGAGAGGUUGAUCUAGAAGGGACAUCUCAAGAAGUAUGCGAAACAAGAUAUGUGAUUCUCAUCGAUUUCAAACUUCAAUUCAACGUAAAUUUCAGAAAGGAAAUCAAUCACACACCUCACUACACUCGUAUUUCCAUGAAAAUUUAAUCGGAGCUUUGGAUACCAAUUGUUGGAAUUCAACAAUGAACAUCCGUUAACAAUGAAUAAGAAGAUAAAAAAGAUGAAGAAUAAUUGCAGAGGAGAGAGAAUGAAAUGUAACUACCUUUCAAAGCUUUCUCAAAAUGCAAGAUUGUGUUACAAAUCCAAAUAACAUUUGGUUUUAUACAUUAACCAAAUGAAACUAAAAUCAAAUGCAAACUUAAUAUAAACUUAAAUGCAAAUGAAAUUCAAAACUAAACUAACUUGAAUGUUGAAUUACAUUCAACAGUUUUGCAUUUAGGUAUGUUUUAUGCUUAUGUUUAGUUUUAAUUUUCUUACUUGUUAAAAAAUUUAUAGAUGAGAAUUUAGAAAUUAAUUUAAUUUUUUAAGUAUUUUUAAAUUAUUAUUAUUUAUUCCUUCAAUAUCAAAAUAGGUGUUCUCUUUAUGAUUUUUAUAUUUUUUAAUAUAAUAAUUAAUUAUGUUGAUUUUAAUGAUAAAACAAAUUAUUAUUUAUUAAAAUAAUUUUAUCAAUAAUAUAUAGUAGAAUAAUUAUAUGAUUUAAAAUAUACUCCCUCCGUUCCUUUUUAAGUGUCUCUUUUUUGAAAAAAAAUUGUUCUUUUUUAAGUGUCACUUACAAAAUUCAAGAUAGUAUUAAUUGCAUUUUGUCAAAAUUACCCCUAGCUAAUUAUUACAGAGAAAUAAAAAGUAAAAUGAAUGUAAUAAAUAGUUAAGGGUAUUAUAGGUAAAAUGAGAAUUGUUGUUGAAAAAGUAACAAUAAUCAUUAACUUUCUUGGUAUGUGUAAAAAAUAAAAAAGUGUCACUUAAAAAGGAACAGAGGGAGUAAUAAAUUAAAAUAAGUUAAUAGAAAAAAUAAUAAAUAGCAUAUCAAUAUUAUAAAUGUUAAUUUUUUAAAGAGACAAAUAAUAAGAGAAAAAUAAAAAUAAAAAAGACGAAAUCGUAAGUCAAGAGGAAGUAUACUUAAAAUGUCAACUCGGAUCCCAUAUUUUUUUAGUCACAAACGACUUUGAGUCUUCCCUAUAUUUUUCAAACUUUGAAUAAACAUGUCAUUAAAUUUGCGUCUUUAAAUUUUAAACUAAACAAAGAGAGAGAAUAACCCACCACCUUCUUGGAACCCAAAACUGACCCGUAAAUUGUAAUUAUCUCUAAUUUUACCGUUCAUUCUCUCUCUCUCUAGAAUCACUGUUAACAAAAAACCCAAAACUGACCCGUAAAUUGUAAUUAUCUCUAAUUUUACCGUUCAUUCUCUCUCUCUCUAGAAUCACUGUUAACAAAAAAAAAAAAAAAAAAGUAAAAAUACACUUUUCGUGUUACAAUUGAUUAUGAUAAUAAAGUUUUAAUUAAGUUUUGAACCCUUUCAACUUCUUGUUCCUUAACCUUUCUUACGGCCGUCACCAGCAAAUUCGUAGAAAAUUAGUACUCCACACUAUUAUUUCGUAAUCAUGAAAUUUGAAUAUUAAAAAUAGUUUGAUUUUUUAUUUUAAAAAUUUAUAAAAUAAUAUAAAUGGGUGAUGAUAAUGAAUGGACAGUGUAAAUUCUUUUACAUUGACAGUACAUAAUAAUUAAUCUCUAUUAAAAUUCUUUUAGAAUUAUGCUUUUGUAAAUAUAGCAUUUCAUCAAAAUUAUUUUAAAUUUUUUAAUAAAUAUAACAUUUCAUCGAAAUUUACAAAUGAAUGGACUAGGAUUUUUUUAUAGUAAGUUAUUCGUUCUUGCAUUAAAAAAUAAAUGAUUAUUCGAUAAAAAUUAAAUAAUUCAAAAUUAAAAUUAAUAAUUUAAAAAAGUCAAAUUUAUUUUUUACCAUGCGAUCAAAAUUAGAGUUGAUAUAGUUUCACAGCAAAAAUACAAUAAUGAUUAGACCAUAAAUGAUUCAAUUUUAAAAUAAAUAACAUGAAAAUGAUAAUAAAAUUUAAAUAUGAUUCGAUAUUAUUAAUAUUUUAUUUAUAAUAAGUUGUAAUGUCAUGUCAUAUCAUCAUCAUUAACACAAUUUAUGCAGCAAAACAUAAACUAGUUAAUAUCAUCAUUAACACAAUAUUUUAUUGAGUAAAAUGACUUUGUGCAGCAAACAUAAACUAGUUAAUAAAAAUGAAAUGAAAUAAAAAACCUAUUUUAUUAAUAUUUAAACUAAUUAAUAAAGAUAAAAAUAACACAAAUAACCUAUUUAAUUAACAUUUUUUAAUUAUAAUAAAAGAUGUAAAAUUGAUAAGUUCUCAACUUUAAACUACUUAAAAUAACAUAUAAAAAAUACUAUAAUUUAAUUUUUAAAAACUACAAAUUCAAAAUAGAAUAAUUAUUACUAUCAAAAGUAUUUUUUAUCGAGUAAUCUAAUAAUUAAAUUGAGUUAGAUUAUUUAAAAAUAUUUUUUAAUCAUAUGAACUUAUAAGUUACUCCUAGAGUACUUUGUCUUACUAAAAAUACACUUACACAUUUUAUUAUUACUAGUUUCUUUUGGGUGCUUUUCAAUUGGUAUUCUACUUGAACCUUUUAGAAUGUUAUUGUAAUUGGUUUCUCUACUUAAAUGUCUCUUUUUCCUAAAUAACCUUUUUUUUCUUCUCAGACAUUCUUUGCCUUACCCUUUUCCGGUUCUCUCUAAAACCGGAAUAAGAAAAGGUUUGUUUUUCCUUACCCUUUUCACUUCUUAGCUAUUAUAGCUAGCUAGAUUAUCUAUUAUCAAUUCUUUUCAAACAAACUCUAACUUCUUUUCAUAAGCUCUUUUCAUCUUCCCCUCACUGUUUGAUUAACUCACCACUCUAUUGCAGAGUUGAUCAUCACAGAAAUGGAAGAUAAUAAUGACCAUGAUUUCUUUUCACACAAAUUCCCAACAACCACCCAGGUAAAUUUUGUUUUGUUUUUCAUAUUAAAAAACCAAAACCUUAAACUAUGUCUAUGUUUGAAAAAUAUUUGUUAAGUGUUUUAUUUUUUCUGUACUAAAUUUGUUUGAUGAAAACUAAAUUACUAAGGUGGUGGAAGAGUUGAAGGAGCUAUGGAGCAUGGCGUUACCGAUAACAGCUAUGAACAUGCUGGUUUUCGUGAGAGCUGUUGUUUCUGUUCUUUUCCUUGGUAGACUCGGUAGUUUAGAGCUAGCUGGUGGUGCACUCUCCAUAGGCUUCACAAACAUAACAGGGUACUCUGUUCUUGUCGGUCUUGCAUCUGGUCUUGAACCUGUUUGUAGCCAAGCUUUUGGCAGCAAAAACUGGGACCUUCUUUCCCUUUCACUACAACGAAUGGUGUUCAUACUUUUAAUGGCCAUAAUACCGAUUAGUCUUCUUUGGGUUAACCUUGAAAGAAUCAUGCUGUUCAUGGGUCAAGACAUUGGGAUAACUGAAAUGGCGGCGGUGUAUUGUUUCUAUUCUCUGCCGGAUCUUUUGACAAACACGUUGUUACAGCCUCUAAGGGUUUUUUUACGGUCGCAGAAAGUGACAAAACCGAUGAUGUAUUGUUCGUUGGUGGCGGUUGUAUUUCAUGUUCCUUUGAAUUAUUUGUUGGUGGUGGUGAUGGGGCUGGGUGUGCCGGGUGUGGCUAUGGCGUCGGUGUUCACGAAUAUGAAUAUGGUGGUUUUGAUGGCGGUAUAUGUGGGGAUGUUUAGGAAGAAGGAGAUGAAGUUGAGAUGGAGUUGUGGUGGUGGUGGCGGUGGCGGUGGCGGCGUUGUUGGUGGUGGUUUGGGUGAGUUGAUGAAAUUGGCAGUUCCGAGUUGUUUGAUGAUAUGUUUGGAAUGGUGGUGGUACGAGAUUGUAACUGUUAUGGCUGGUUAUUUGGAGAAUCCAACGUUGGCGGUUGCUGCUACUGGGAUUUUGAUUCAGACAACAAGUAUGAUGUAUACUGUUCCUAUGGCUCUUGCUGGUUGUGUCUCUGCUAGGGUAUGUUUCUCUUCUCUUUACUUCCAUUUUCUAAUUUAUUUUUCGAUUCAAUUAGUAUUCAUAGUAAUGCAGAAAUAUUCAAUUAUAUGAUUUACCUUGUUAGAUCAAUUUAGUUGAUAGUAGUGCGGCGGAGACAUUUAAUAUUUGUUGGAAGAAUGAAUCCUAACUUUGUGAUAACUCUUAAAUUACUAUAUCAAAUAAUCUAUAGUCCAUUUAAAAUUGGAUGAAAUGAUAAUUUUAAUAUCAUAUCAUAUUAUUAAAAUAUAAAUAUUAUUCAGAUGAAAAAAAUAUUAAAUUUUAACUUUUUAAAAAUAAAUAAGUAGAGUAACACAUAAGACAUAUGUUUGUGUCUUCUAUUAACUAAUUUGAUAUUGGUCCAUCAAAUUAUUAUAACCAAAAUAAUACUAAAAAUUAUUUUUAUUAUUGUUUGGAUAUAUUCAGGUACCACUAUAUCUAGUAACUAAAAUGAUUAUUUUAACAUUUUAAAGGUCUCCAUAUUGAAAUCUUUGUUUGGAGGGAAUAUAUAAUGUGUAUUCAACCUUAUUUUAUUUUAAGGUUUUACUUUAGAAGCCAAAAGGAUUUGAUAGCAAUAACGAAUAUUUUUGUAUAUUUUCCACUUGGAAUAAUAUUGAGUGGGGUGACAUGAAGAAUUAUAUAGAAAAUAGUGAGAGUAAUGGAGUGACUUUGAUUUUUAUACUCUAUAUGUGACUAGAUCUUUUUACUUGCACUCCGAAAGUAUAUAUUUUUCUUAAUUGAAGGAAUAUAUAGAUAAUAAAUAAAGUUUGAAUUUUUUUUUUAAAUAAAGUCAAAAUAUCUCCACAUAAGACUAAAUCACAUUUGCACACUGACUUGAUUCCUAACAUGCUUGAAGAGGCAAAAUAAUGACUUUUUCCUUGAUAUGCUUGUAGAUUCUACAAAAGUUGUUAUAUUUUCAAAAAUAGAUUUGGUUUGAAUUUAUUUAUUAAUUUAAUCAUAUUUUUAUUCUAUGCAAUUUUUGUUUUUUAUUCUUUUAUUCCCUGUAGCUAGUCAACUAAAAAUGGAAUUAAAUGUCAACCUCAAACCCUGAUUUUCUUGAUAUUGUUUUUGUCUUACGAAUCACUGUCCUUUAGUUGUUUCCAACUACUAGAAAAUCUAAAUUUUAAAUUGUUUUCUUCUAUAAAUAAAUAAUUUGAAACAAAAAUUAAAGAAUUAAUAGUUUGUAUAAAAAAAUUAAAAGAUUAGUGCUAAAACAAAAGUAAUUAUUUCCAAAUUUUUUCUCUAUCUUAUCAUACCAAAUACACGUGUGAAGAUUUUAUGUUGUUAUUUUUUUUAAGUUAUCGUCUUCAAUCAUUCAACUUUUUCCUUUGCUUUUUCUUAUAUUCCUUUUGAGCUAAUCAUAAUAUUUGGUUUCUGCUUAAUGAGGUAUAAAUUAAAUUUGUUAUAUGAUUGCGUAAAGUACAAGGACCCAUUUGAGUUAAGUCACACUUGUAAUGUGAUUCCACAAAACUAGAAGUAAUUAAUCACUUAUAAGUGGAAUUCUGUUUGGCUUGCACAGGAACUCCAUCAUCAUGCAUUUCUAUUUUACCAAAUAUUCUAACUAUCAAAUCUAAAAAAGCAUCCCAUUUUCUUUGUGGGACUCAUUCAAUGAUAUUUUAUCAUGUAUUACACUUUAGAUUUUAGUUUAGUAUAUUUUAAAUUACAUCUUAAUUUUAUUAGUUUUUAAUGUAGUGUUUGUAAAAUUGUGAUGUGAUGUUAAUCAUGUUUGCUAUAUUAUUUUUAAUUAAAAUAAUCAUACUAUUUUUUAUUCGUUUUUAACAUAUUUUCAAACAAUAAUCUUUUAUGAUUAUUUUUUUGAGUUAUAAUUUGUCAUAUCACUGUUUUGAAUAGCUUUUUUUUUUUUAAAAAUCGAUACAAUAAAAUAGAGAAUUUUUUUUAUAUAAAUUUUUUAUAAAUGAUUGAAUAUAAACAACAAUUUUUUUUAGAAUCAAUAACAUAUUCUCUUUAAUUUAUAAUUAGAGUAAUUAAUAAAAUUUUCUAUUUAAUAAAUGCAGGUAGGGAAUGAGCUUGGAGCAGGUAAACCAUAUAAAGCAAAGCUAGCAGCCAUGGUUGCAUUAGGAUGUGCAUUUGUGAUGGGCUUCAUCAAUGUAACAUGGACCGUCGUCCUUCGAUACGGUUGGGCCAGACUUUUCACAACCGAUGAACCCGUCAAAGCCUUGGUUGCAUCCGUCAUGCCAAUAAUGGGCCUAUGCGAGCUCGCAAACUGCCCACAAACCACCGGUUGUGGCAUCCUCCGAGGCACUGCCCGACCCGUCAUAGGCGUGAACAUCAACCUAGGAGCAUUCUACUUUGUCGGUACCCCGGUGGCGGUAGGGUUGGCAUUUUGGUUCAGGAUUGGGUUUAGUGGGCUUUGGUUUGGGCUUUUAUCAGCCCAAGUGGCAUGUGCUUUAUCAAUUCUAUAUGUUGUGAUUGUACGUACGGAUUGGGAAGCUGAGGCAUUGAAGGCAGAGAAACUAACAAAGGUUGAGAUGGUAACUUAUAAUGGAAGUAAGAAUAAAGACGUAGUAACAAAAGAGGAAGAAUGCAAGGGUUUGUUGGAAAAUGUAAAUGGGAACAAAAUUGACAUUUGCUAAAAAGACAUCACAACCUAGAAUAGAAUGAUAUCUAUUAUGAGAUUUGGAUUUUGUUUGUUGGUGAUAAAGAUCAUAUACUGUCACCUAGUAUAUUGGAUAGUGAGGUUUAUGAGUGGUGCGUGCAUCUAUGUUAUGGGUUGGUUACUUUUGAAGAGUAUAUGUUGUUUUCUUUAAUCUAUCGUAUUUUCUUUUCAUUUUUUGAAAAGUUCUCAUGAGGAACAAUGUCUCACUUUAUGUACUAACAUGGUUUCAAUUAUCGCAUGAAUUUUUUUGGACGAGAUUUGGACACUUCAUAUAAUACUUACCCUAUUCAUUCUGAAGUGUCGUUCACGGUUUUUAAGGAAAUAAUUAGACGUGUUGGUUUUGAUCAUAAAACUAUUAACAUUUUUUAGAAUAUUUCUAUUAAUUUUAAUUAAAAAAGUGGUUGGAUAAAGUGAAAGUUAAUAAAAGGAAUAUGAUAUGAAAAAAUAAUAAUAAAUAUUAUAUUGAUAUGGUAAAAGAGGUGAAAAUAAGACAUUUUUUACGAGAAGGAGGGAGUGAUCAUUAUUAUUGCUUUUCAGAUAAUUCUUUUAUCUAUAAUACUCUUAAUUAUUUAUUAGAUUUAUUUUACUCUUUUUUUUUGUAAUAAUUAUUUAGGAUAAUUUUGACAAAAAUAUAAUUAAUACUAUUUUGAACUUUGGAAGUGAUAAUUAAAAAAAAAUAUUUUUCUUCAAGAAAAUGAUACUUAAAAAGAAACGGAAAGAAUAGAUAUUCAAUAUUUUUAUUUAAUUUUAAUUUUUUUCAAUUUAGUCUAGUAAUAGAUAUUGAAAGUUGGGAUACACCCCCUCCCCUCCCAUCCCAUGACUGUAACUAUUAUAAAUAUUUUUUUUAAUAUAUUUGAUAAUUAAUAUAUAUAAUUUAUAUAUGAAUUAGAUAGAUUAACUAUCCAAUGAAUUAAAAAAGUCAAAUUUACUUAUAAUAAUAAUUAGAGGAUAUAUGAUUAAGAUAUUUAAAAAUUUUAAAUUUUAUUAAUAACUUUUUUUAGAAACAAAUUUGUUUUGUUGACGUGAAAAUUGUAUCUAAAUGAAAGAUUUUUUCAUUUGUCAAUAACGAAUUUUAUUUUAAAAAAUUGACUUUUAAAAAAAAACAAAGUUAAAAGAAAGAAAAUGAGAGUAAGGAUUAAUCUCUCCUGUUUGAAAAAUUGUUCAUUGAAUUUUUAUAAAAACAAAUUGGGUGAUUCAUACCGGUUCUCAUCGAUUUGAUUGCAUGGCGGAUUUAAUAGUCGGUUUGGAUCGGUUACUCUUUCCUUACUUCGACUGAAUCAACAAUCGGUUGAUUAGAGGUUAAUUAAAUAAAAAAUUUGAAUGAGUUAUUCAUAAGUUCUCGGAUCGAUCGAUUCAACGGAUGCGAGCCGAUAUUUAAAACUCUAUAUUUCUAAUUAUUGAAUAUCUAUUCUUUGUAAUUUAUCUUUUAAUUUUAAUCAUUUUAUUUCUAUUUAUAUAAAUAAAAAAUUGAUUAUAUAUAUAUUUUUUAUUUCAUUUUUUUCAAAUUAUUAAUUUAUAAAUUUUAAUAAAUAUUUUUAUAUUAAUACAUUAAUACAAAUAAAUAGUCUCUUAAAUCAAUAAUCUAUAUUUAUUUAAUUCAAUUAUCAUAUGUGUUACUUAUCAUGUUUUGUCAUAUUUCCAUUAACUAGUAUCAAAUAUAAACCAUGAUUUAGUUUAUCAAUAUAAAGUCAUACUAGUAAUAUUUUGGGAAGAUGAGAAAUAUUUGUGGCGUGAAAAAGUAGCUUAUAUUAUGUGUUGUGUGACAAUUGCAUGAAGAUAUAGGUGAAAUGUGAAAAUCUGCGUUCUGACAUUUGAUAAUUUUGAGAUAUACGGCUGAGACGUAGAGAUCAAACAGAAGACAGCUUUUAUGCUAAAGCUGUUCUACAAAAGCAGGACUUAAUUAUAAUGCCAGCGGCGUAACAAUUCGUAGAUCAGAGUAGGGAGGGUGGCUCAUGCAGCCUUACAUAUUGUUCACUCCUUUUUAAGAUACUAGUAUCUGAUAUGAUUGCUGUUGUUUCACUAUUUUUAUAUAUAGAUACAAUAUAAAAAUAAUAAUUUAAUAAAAAUAAAGUUAUAUCUAUAUUAUAUACAUAAACCUUGUUAGACUAAUUUAUAUAUUUUAAAAAAUAUUGAUUUAUAAAAUUAAUAAUUUAUUUAUAUUGUAAUAUUUUUUAUAUUUUAAAAUGUCUUGUCAUUUAAAUUUUUUAGAUAGAUUAAAAAUUGAAUAAUAUUAUCCUAAGACAUUAUAAUUUUAUUAAAAUAUUAAAAAUAAUAUAAAGAAUAAUAAUUAAAGAUGCAAUUGAAAAAAUUAUACACGCCUUAUCAUUAUUAUAAACCAGAAUUUUUUUUUAGAUUUAUUAAAUAAUUAAUAUAUCUGAUAUAUAAUAAUGAUCAGAUACAUUAUUUAUUCAAUGAAUUAAUUUUUUUUUACUUUCUUAUAAUAGUGAUCAAUGAUAUAAUCAUUACUAUAUUCAAAAGUGAGAUUAAUAAUUAUUUUAAAAUAAAUUUUAUUUACUAAAAUAAUUAUUACAGAAAAUAAUUUAAAAUACAUUAUUUUAUAGGUUAACUUUACCGUUUACUUUGAUCUCUUAAUUUAAAAUAAGAAAUUAUAUUGAUUUCUUAAAUUUAAAAUAUACAAAUUAAUUAUUUUUGUCCAAGUAACAAUGACUUUUUUUAUAUUAAUCAUAAAAUUUAUUAUUAAUUAAAUAAAAAAGAUAAACAUAAAAUAUUUUAAAAAUUUAAGAGAUCACAUUUUUUUUAGUUAGAAGACUAAAAAUAACCUACAAGAUUAACGUAGAGAUCUACAAAAUAUUAAAGCUUUUUAAAAUAAAUAUUCUGUUUAAAAAGAGAUUAAUUACUAUAUACUGUCAGUUUAAAAAGUUUUACAUAAUCGAUUCAUCACCAUCACCCGAGGGGUCUAGGUUAGUUAAGGGUAUAUUAUAUGUUGUAAUAAUUUUCACAUAGUGUUAUUCUCUGGUUGUCUAUUAACAAUAGUCCUGGGUUUUUCUCCGAUUUUGGAGUUUCCACGUUACGUUCUUGUGUUGUGAUUAUGUUUCUUUUUUCUCUAUGCUUUGUUUUUUCCCCAACAACUGGUAUUAGAGCCCGGUUCGAUCCGGAGAUACGUGUUCUUAGUAUGCUUUAUGGUUGCAGUUUUGUCUGAUCUUCCACAUAAGAAAAGAAUCAUACCAUAGUCAAAACAUCCAAGGAACAUAUAACACCAACAUUUCCUCAUACCAUAGCCAAAACACUCAAACAUCAUACCAUAGCCAAAACACCCAAACACCGCACCAUAGCCAAAACACCUAAACAUCACAACAACCAUAUGACUAUCAAACACCACAAUAACCAUUUCAACAUUUCUCUAACGAACCAUUCACACCAAUGCUCCCUCCAAUCGUCCAGGUCGCACACCAAUGACCUCAUGAACACAUCCAGACUACUCUGACAUAGGUCGCAAACUAAGUUACGAUAGUGUGUCGCUUCAUACACAAGACUUCUUAGAAAUUCAAGAACUUCUUAGGGAUUCUGGUGAUGUUCAUAAGACCUAAAAUCCUCAAACACAUAGAGUGAAUCAACAAUGAGUGCAACAAGUUACGAUAGCUAGGGGGUAUGGAACCGAUGACCGGUAUAACCAACCUGAUCGUCAUCGUUAGUUUCUGUAAAAGUAUUUUUAAUUAAAUAUUAAUUUUUAUUAUUUAUACUAAAAUAAUUCACAAUGUACACGGGUGUUAGGCCAAUUGACACCUCCAUUUAAAAUAUGUACAUUGACGCCAAUUGAAUUGUCAACACCAUGUAAUUCCAAUUGGCACAUCCAUUAUAAAAUAUGGAGUUGCCGCCAAUUCGUCUGCCAACAACACUUCGUCCCAAAAAUUCUUUGUUUGAAAGUGGGGUACUUUAAGAGUUUGUUUGAAACAUGUGUUACUUUGUGAAUUAAUUUUAAAAAUGGGUUAUUUGGGUAAAAAAUGGACUCUUCCGACCCAUAAUUGAGUGAUCAAUUUGCAAGAAAAAAAGUUUCAAAAUGAAUGAUUCAUUUCAAUAUGUAAUACAAAUUAUUAUUUUUUUCAAUUAUACUAUUUAAUUAUUAUUAUUUUCAUAAGUUUCAAUAGUUAAUAAUAGACACUUUAGUAAAACUAUUGUUUUCUCUCUUUUAUUUAUUUAAUUUUUUUAAUAUGUGUGAACUAAUUCGUUGAGUCAUUUAUCGUGAGACAGAGAGAAUUACAAAUAGUAUAAUAAAUUAAUGAUAAUUAUAAAAUUUUAAAUUAUAUUUUAAAUCAUAGUAUUUGAAUACAUCAAUUUGAUGAGACGUGUCAGAAGAAACAAUGCUAAAAGAAAAUACAACUCUUUUUAUCUGUUUUUCUAAUUGUUAUUAUUAAAGUUUAAUGUUAUUUUUUAGUUAUUUAUUGUGGUAACUUUUAUUUUAUUUUUACUACAUUAUUCUGUUUUAUAUGUUUUUAGGGAUUAAUUACUAUACAUUGUCCGUGUAAAAGGUUUUACACUGUCGAUUCAUCACCAUCACCCGUUUGUAUUACUCUAUAGGUUUUUAAAAUAAAAGUUAAGAUUAUUUUAAUAUCCAAUGUCUAUGAUUAACUGUAAAAUCCUUUUAAAUUGUCAGUGUAUAUCAAUUAAAUUAUUUUUUUAAAUUCAAAUUGAAGUUAUAUUUGAAAUAUUGAACUUUGUCAAUAUAAUUUUAAUUUAAUAAAAUACUAUAUCAAAUAUUAACUUGAGUGUAUAUUUCAAAUAUUACACCAUUAUAAACUUCAUUAUGUAUAAAUACCUUAUAUUAAUAUUACUUUAUAUUCUAAACACUAUAUUAAUAUUUAUAUGAUGAUAAUUAUAUUUUAAAUAUUUUUUUCUCAUGACUUUAUUCUACUGGAAGGGUCUCUUACUAGUAUAAUUGCAAUAAUAAACGAGUGCAUAACAAUUAAAUUGAUUUGAUACAAAUCUGUAAUUUAUUAAUGUAAAUUGGUUUAGACAUGGACGAAGAAUGUAAGUUAAAAUUUUCAUUUUACGAAACAAACCCUGAAGUUUAGGAGUCCACCCGAGUGAAAACUCUUGUCCCUUGAAAGAGAGUAAAAAUACAGAGAGAGAUGAAAAAUUGAGAAUAAUCCUAGGAAGAAAGACGAGAUAGAUUAACAAUUUCGUUUCGAGAAAAAAAUGGAAGAAGCAAAGGCAAUGCAGCAGCAGCAGUUGAUCCAAGAACAACAUCGACAACAACAACAACAACAACAUUUUCUGCUCUUACAGCAAUUGCAAAAGCAACAGCAAUCAUCCGCAAUUUCUCGCUUCCCUUCCAACAUUGACGCUCACUUGCGUCCCAUAAGACCCCUCAAUCUUCAACAAAACCCUAACCCUAACCCUAAUCCCAUUCUCAAUUUACACCACAACCCUAAUUCAAACCAUCUACCUCAGCAACAGCACCAAAAGAUUAUUCGACCCCCCGGGAAUCAAAUCGAGCUCCAGAUGGCUUACCAAGACGCCUGGCGGGUCUGCCAUCCGGAUUUCAAGCGACCCUUUUCUUCUCUAGAAGAUGCCUGCGACAGGUUCUUUCUCUCAUCUCUAUUCAGUGCCGUGAUUCGUGGAAAAUGCUAAACAACUUAGCAUGACCCAUCUUUCGCUAUAACUACCUUUUCAAAUUCCAACUAUAUUUUCUACUUUUUUUCAUACUUCCAUUUUCUAUAAAAUUUAUGCAAUGUGGUUAUGGCUCUUUUCUUCAAGUUAAAUGACAAGUCAAACUGUCAAUUGUAUUUCAUUAGUAUUAGUAUUAGGAGUAUAGACUAGUAUCAGGGCUACCUAUAGCAGCUGGUUGUCAGGUGUUUCACACCGGUCAUUGGGUCACUACAGCUUGUUCAAACUCAUCCUUUGCGUCGUCAAAUUCAUGCUUCUGAAUAGAUUUCCCUGUUGCGUUGCCCAACAAGUAAAAAUGUUUAUUCAGAAUUGUCAAGAGUCCCAUAUUGGAUGAGAUAAGGCCCAAAAGCAUUUUUAUAUAAGUCUGAGCUAUUCCUCAUCUUACAAGUUUUCGUUAGGUUGAAUUCUAAGAUUUUACUUUUCUCCAAACUGAUUUAUAUUUGGAAACUUUUACUUAAUGAUAUUGAAUUUUGUGCUAGCAAAAUGUAAGUAUGGGAUGUUAUUGCUAGUUUUUCUUACUGUAUGUUUGGUUCUGCGGUGAGUGGUUCUGCGGUGAGGAGAAUUGAUUCUAAGUGAAUUAAUUUUGUAGAAUUGAUUUUGAUUAAAAGUGAAUUGGAUGUAAAGUGAUUUAUGUUUGGAUACAUUUCUAUAAAACUGAGUUGAACAAUAAAUUUCAAUGUAAAAAUCACGUUUAAAGUCAAAAGCUACAAAUUGUAGUUUCAAGGAGAAUCAAUCAUGGAGGCCGAACAAUUCUACUUUAGAAAAACCAAACACCUCAGAAUCAUUAAAGAAUCAAUUUUGCACCUCUAGAAUUGCUUUUGCCUAUUCCAAAAGCCAAACCAAACAUACACUCAACCUUAUUGGGAUAAAAACUAUGUUGUCAAUCUCGGAUAGUGAAGCGGAGCAGAUGAUCUCAAAACUGGGAUAGCAGGGAGAUGGGUGGCCAUUAUUUAAUAAAUUUUGGAAUUAUUAUAAAUUAACACUAAUAAACACAUAACUUCUGAAAAAUGAAACACUUUACUCAAAUCAUGAAAUAGUAAGAAUUAAAAAUAAAAGUCACAGCUCUUAAUCAAAAGAUACUUGUAAAUAACAACCUAUGAAGCUCCGACACGCCAUUCACACGACGUGUCGCCGUGUCCGACACGUGUACGACACGUAUCAGACACGUUUUUGAAGUGUCCAACGAGAAAAAAAUAUUUAAUUGUUGUGGACACGGAUACGGCACCUUAUUUAAAAUAAAGGACAUGACCCAAUUCAGAAAAUUCCAGAAUUAAAAAAAAAAAAACUCAACUCAAUUUUUCAAAAUUUAAAAAAUAAAUAAGUUUUUUAGCUUUCAUAUUCCACUUUUUUACUAUAAAAACAACACAAUUAGAAUUUCUUAUUUUUUUAUAUUUCACUUUCACUGCUUUUGUCUCCACAAAAUUCUUUUAUCUUCUCCGGUUAUUUUCAUCUUUGCACACCAUUGCUUCGGUUUUCACAAGGAAUAUAUGAAUAUCAAUUAUCAUGUUUGAAAGUAUUGAAAGAAUUUUUUAUUGUUUUAUCUUAAAUAAAUAUAAAUUUUGCUUCUCAUUUUAAAUUCUUUACAAAUUUUGCCCAUAAAUUAUAUUAUUAUAUUAAUAUAUAAAAUAUAUAUAGCCGUGUCCGUGUCCUAUAAUUUGUACAUUAGUGGGGUCCCCGUGUCCGUGUCCGUGUCGUGUCCCGUGUCCGUUCCGGGCUUCAUAUUAACAACAAAGUUCAAGGAAACAUGCAGGUGAAGCCAAGCUUAAAUUAACUAAACAUCAAAACUCAAAUAAAAGUUCUCAUCAACAAAGCCAAUUAUCAGCAUCAUGACAUAACUUAGAUUUUUAAUCAAUAGUGUCUAAUGAAAGGACUUAUUUUAAAACUAAGAAACCAACGAAGAUUUGAUUCCCUAAUUACGACGAACUACAUACCGAUAUCCGCGUUAUUCAAUAUUUAAUCUAGAUCUCAUUUUAGUUUUACUUUUCCCCCUAAUCAUCAAAGUAUCAUCCGCCUUAGCUUUACGAAGUGACCUUAGAAAACGGUAUAUCGAUUCAUAAGUCCAUGUGGGAUCGAUAUCUUUUAUUACUACGCGAUUAGACUGUGCACUUGCCGUUAAUACCCCAAUAGACUCAUAAAGUCGCGAUUCAGUCCACCCGAGUGAAAACUCUUGUCCCUUGAAAGAGAGUAAAAAUACAGAGAGAGAUGAAAAAUUGAGAAUAAUCCUAGGAAGAAAGACGAGAUAGAUUAACAAUUUCGUUUCGAGAAAAAAAUGGAAGAAGCAAAGGCAAUGCAGCAGUAGCAGCAGUUGAUCCAAGAACAACAUCGACAACAACAACAACAACAUUUUCUGCUCUUACAGCAAUUGCAAAAGCAACAUCAAUCAUCCGCAAUUUCUCGCUUCUCUUCCAACAUUGACGCUCACUUGCGUCCCAUAAGACCCCUCAAUCUUCAACAAAACCCUAACCCUAACCCUAACCCUAAUCCCAUUCUCAAUUUACACCACAACCCUAAUUCAAACCAUCUACCUCAGCAACAGCACCAAAAGAUUAUUCGACCCCCCGGGAAUCAAAUCGAGCUCCAGAUGGCUUAACCAUCUACCUCAGCAACAGCACCAAAAGAUUAUUCGACCCCCCGGGAAUCAAAUCGAGCUCCAGAUGGCUUACCAAGACGCCUGGCGGGUCUGCCAUCCGGAUUUCAAGCGACCCUUUUCUUCUCUCGAAGAUGCCUGCGACAUGUUCUUUCUCUCAUCUCUAUUCAGUGUCGUGAUUCGUGGAAAAUGCUAAACAACUUAGCAUGACCCAUCUUUCGCUAUAACUACCUUUUCAAAUUCCAACUAUAUUUUCUACUUUUUUCAUACUUCCAUUUUCUAUAAAAUUUAUGCAAUGUGGUUAUGG